UAUUGCAUGCUGUGCCGUGCCCUUAGUAGAAUCCCACUAAGUGGAAUCUCCUCAAACAAUUGUCACGGAAUUGGCUCAUUCUUCCCUGCGCCUUCCAUGUGAGGGCUCCAGGAGUGUGCAGGACUUGCACUUUAAGGUAUACUUAGACUCACAUUUGUGUCAAUUAACGCCUACUUGAGUAGCGUAGGGAUAGCCGUCAUGUGACCCUAGUGACUAAAAUAGUAUUAGUGCUGCAAUCCUGAGCUGCUUUCCAAGGAAGUAGUUCAGUUAACGCAAGUAUUUCUGGCUGUGCAGAAGAAUGUCACCUCGCUCUCCUCUCCCCACACUGCCUCUCCCCUCAAUUCUUUUCUAGAUUUUCUCUCAACCCUCUGGAACAGUGGGGUGGACACAUGGGGAGAGUAGAGGAAGUUCUGUUGCACAAAUGGAAAUCCUUGGACUGAUGUAACCUGGGGCACACACUCUGUGGGGCUGGCCACCCCCCAAAUAUGUGGGAACAGAGCUAAGCCCCCUCAGUCUUGAGGGCCUGGGCCUCCCUGCGGGGGCCAAGUUGUCGGGCCUACCUAUGAUGGUUAGUCUACAUAUAGAGUUAGUCUACCUUUAGAGGUGUCUACCUAUGAUGGUGGCAGGCCUGCUCCUGAUGUGCGUGACAUCAUGCAUGUUGCAUUUGUGAAGUCACGCUCACACGAUGAGAUGAGACAAGCCUCCACAAUGUUGGGCAGAAUCUAGCCAUAUAACUAGCCCUGGUCUGAAGAGUUCUAUUGCUUGGAUUUUCUUCACUUGAACUCACUUGCUCAGUGAAUCAAUCAGCCAUUACAUCAGAGCGGCACUAGUUAGGUUCUAGUUCAACCACAGUCCUAUACUCACUUCCCGGGAAUAAGCCCCCUGGUCCCUUCCACCUCUACAACUGAUUCUAUGAUUCUUUGAACUUAGUGAGCUUUAUAGCCACACCAAACACUUAAAGAACGAUUAUACCACUUUAACAACUGUGGUUUAUUAACUACAGUUCCCAGGAUUCUUUGGGGGAAGUUAUGUCUGUUAAAGAGGCAUAAGAGUGCUUUAAAUGUAUUGUGUGGGUCUGAGUUAAGUAGAUAUGUAUAAGAUGUCACCACUAAUAUCAAAAUUAAGACCAGACAGUGACUGCCUCCUUAUAACCAACAAUGAAAUAAGCACAUGGAUUUAUUAUGUGGAUGCCAGCAAGCAUCUAGAAAUAAACUUAAAUAAACACCUGUGGAUAUCCUCCCCAUCUUCCCUCAGUGUAAGGAACCCCUCUUUCUUUUAUGUUGCGUUGCUACAAAAUUUGGGGUGUGGUUAUCUGUUCAGGGUAGUCCAGCAGUAAGCCAGGAUAAGUCCUUUCUCGUGAGAGAAGUUCAGUAACAGGUGAGAAAAUAUAAAAUUGGUCUUCCAUUUGUUCCAGCCAUAAAAGAAAAUUUUAGAAGUCAUGAUACGGUUUCUAAGGAGGCAAGAGGUAACUGAAAAGGGUAACUUUGGAUAAUAAUGAGGAGUUCCACUGAGUUCCACUCCCAUCUCCAGCUGCCUCCUCACCUCUCCAAAGCAUCUAUAGAAAGGGCAUUGUGGGGAGAAACUGGGAUAAACCAUCUCCUCUGCUUCUAGUGGAACAUCAUGGAACUUCCCAUGAACAAAUAAGGAACCAACCCACGGUCAUCACCCCGUUGUAAAAUCAGAA